AUUCGGCUGACGACUUCCAAAUAGGAAGAAAUGUGCGUCCUGGAU
rnacentral:hammerhead_ribozyme from 1 species